AGAUUGGUGAAGCCCGAGACCUAAGUUAUGGUUAACUUGAGAAGCGACAAGUCCCAGAUUAUUUUGCAGGUAAAAGUAUUCAGCUAGGAUGGUUGGCUAUCAGCUGGGAUUGGCAAACUCCAUUUUCUUCCUGGAGCAGUGCCGAGUCAUUAUGGUUAUCAUGUGUGUGUACGGGUAUGUCGGGGCCCGUCCCGAUUCAUAUGAUUCAAGUGUUUACUCUUAGAGACUUUGCAGACAGUGUCCUGUGGUUAGUAUGUUGAGAUGUCAUGUGUUGAGUAAAGCGACCAUGUAGGCCGAUAUGUCAGUUUGACUUAUUCGAUUUUUGAUUAA